rnacentral:rRNA from 1 species
AACGAACGCCGGCGGCAUGCCUAACACAUGCAAGUCGAACGAGACCUUCGGGUCUAGUGGCGCACGGGUGCGUAACGCGUGGGAACCUGCCCUUAGGUUCGGAAUAACUCCCCGAAGGGGGUGCUAAUACCGGAUAAUGUCUUCGGACCAAAGAUUUAUCGCCUUUGGAUGGGCCCGCGUUGGAUUAGCUAGUUGGUAGGGUAAAAGCCUACCAAGGCGACGAUCCAUAGCUGGUCUGAGAGGAUGAUCAGCCACACUGGGACUGAGACACGGCCCAGACUCCUACGGGAGGCAGCAGUGGGGAAUAUUGGACAAUGGGCGAAAGCCUGAUCCAGCAAUGCCGCGUGAGUGAUGAAGGCCUUAGGGUUGUAAAGCUCUUUUACCCGGGAUGAUAAUGACAGUACCGGGAGAAUAAGCUCCGGCUAACUCCGUG